GCCGGUCACAAAACCGAGCAGAUUUUCACUACGAGUCCCCCGAAACCACCGUGAAAAUUCUUUCGAAUUUGCUACGGUUCCUCACCGAUGCAAAUCGGAGUAGACCUGUUUCAUGGAGGGGCGAAAUGGCAGAACAUUUCUUGCAUGAACUCCUACAAAAAUUUCCGUUGGAAGUUUCAUUUGUAUGAGUUAAUGCAAGAAAUUGUCUUGUCUGGGCCGGCAGGCCACGCUACUAUCUAAACCAUAUGAUUCCACAUUCAAGAAAAUAACCGAACCGGACAAAGUAAGGAGCGCAUGGGUGGGGUUUGGCUAACAAGGAGUGGGGGGGGGAAGAAAAGCUUCGUAGACAGGUUCGCUUCCUCCUUUUAGCGACUAGGUUGGAAUGGUGGGGAAGGAGGCCCUCCCUAUUUCAAUGGAAAAGGGGGAAUUUCCGUUUCACAGCCGCCCCUUUACUUUGAGCUACUUAGUCUUAGUCUUAUACCUUUCGCCCAACAUGAUCACGAACGAACACGGAAAAUUGUGUAGAUAGGAGGAUAAAACGAACCAACCCACUUGUCCGUCUGUCCUGAUUGGAACGAGGAAAGAAAGAGAAUGGUGGCUCCUUUCGCCCUGAGGACAGGGGGAGACCGUUGGUUACACCCUUUAAGGUUCUUCCAUCUUUCUCUUUUUCUAUAUACAUAUGGAGACCUGAUAGAGAUCCAUAUCUUUCUAUCAAUAGAUAGAUAGAUCUAUUGAUAAAUGGAUGGAUAUUGAUCUGGUUUAAAAAAAAAUGAAAAAGAGAGAUCCCUCAAUGUCCUUUUUGAAAAAAGAGAUGAGUAGAU
rnacentral:lncRNA from 1 species